AGAGUUUGAUCCUGGCUCAGAUUGAACGCUGGCGGCAUGCUUUACACAUGCAAGUCGGACGGCAGCACAGGGAAGCUUGCUUCUCGGGUGGCGAGUGGCGAACGGGUGAGUAACAUAUCGGAACGUACCGGGUAGCGGGGGAUAACUGAUCGAAAGAUCAGCUAAUACCGCAUACGUCUUGAGAGGGAAAGCAGGGGACCUUCGGGCCUUGCGCUAUCCGAGCGGCCGAUAUCUGAUUAGCUGGUUGGCGGGGUAAAGGCCCACCAAGGCGACGAUCAGUAGCGGGUCUGAGAGGAUGAUCCGCCACACUGGGACUGAGACACGGCCCAGACUCCUACGGGAGGCAGCAGUGGGGAAUUUUGGACAAUGGGCGCAAGCCUGAUCCAGCCAUGCCGCGUGUCUGAAGAAGGCCUUCGGGUUGUAAAGGACUUUUGUCAGGGAAGAAAAGGCCGUUGCCAAUAUCGGCGGCCGAUGACGGUAUCUGAAGAAUAAGCACCGGCUAACUACGUGCCAGCAGCCGCGGUAAUACGUAGGGUGCGAGCGUUAAUCGGAAUUACUGGGCGUAAAGCGGGCGCAGACGGUUACUUAAGCAGGAUGUGAAAUCCCCGGGCUCAACCCGGGAACUGCGUUCUGAACUGGGUGACUCGAGUGUGUCAGAGGGAGGUGGAAUUCCACGUGUAGCAGUGAAAUGCGUAGAGAUGUGGAGGAAUACCGAUGGCGAAGGCAGCCUCCUGGGAUAACACUGACGUUCAUGUCCGAAAGCGUGGGUAGCAAACAGGAUUAGAUACCCUGGUAGUCCACGCCCUAAACGAUGUCAAUUAGCUGUUGGGCAACUUGAUUGCUUGGUAGCGUAGCUAACGCGUGAAAUUGACCGCCUGGGGAGUACGGUCGCAAGAUUAAAACUCAAAGGAAUUGACGGGGACCCGCACAAGCGGUGGAUGAUGUGGAUUAAUUCGAUGCAACGCGAAGAACCUUACCUGGUUUUGACAUGUGCGGAAUCCUCCGGAGACGGAGGAGUGCCUUCGGGAGCCGUAACACAGGUGCUGCAUGGCUGUCGUCAGCUCGUGUCGUGAGAUGUUGGGUUAAGUCCCGCAACGAGCGCAACCCUUGUCAUUAGUUCGCAUCAUUCGGUUGGGCACUCUAAUGAGACUGCCGGUGACAAGCCGGAGGAAGGUGGGGAUGACGUCAAGUCCUCAUGGCCCUUAUGACCAGGGCUUCACACGUCAUACAAUGGUCGGUACAGAGGGUAGCCAAGCCGCGAGGCGGAGCCAAUCUCACAAAACCGAUCGUAGUCCGGAUUGCACUCUGCAACUCGAGUGCAUGAAGUCGGAAUCGCUAGUAAUCGCAGGUCAGCAUACUGCGGUGAAUACGUUCCCGGGUCUUGUACACACCGCCCGUCACACCAUGGGAGUGGGGGAUACCAGAAGUAGGUAGGGUAACCGCAAGGAGCCCGCUUACCACGGUAUGCUUCAUGACUGGGGUGAAGUCGUAACAAGGUAGCCGUAGGGGAACCUGCGGCUGGAUCACCUCCUU
rnacentral:rRNA from 1 species